UGGCAAUCUGUUUCAGAUCAAUGGCCUUUACCCAGAAGUCUGGGAAGAAAAUAUCCACAAUGUCACUUCUACAGGAUUAGAGGAAGGAGAGAGGCAAUGAUGUUUCCACCCUUUCCUAGGAAUAUCCACCUCUGAGAAGAACAUAUCAUUUUCUGUGGAUGUCACCUGUUCUGCAGAAAAGCCUUCCCUGGACUCCCAGAAAACAUGAAUCUGAGGUGGAUCCUCCUCCCUCUCCUCCUUCUCCUGGACCUAACUGUCUUUACUCCAGCCCUGUCCUUCUCAAAACGACACAUAGACAAUCCCAAGUCGUUGGUCCCAGGAGGAAACCGCCGAUACUGUGAUGUGAUGAUGAGGCGCCUCUGGAUGAUCCAUAAGGGUAAAUGCAAGCAGAUCAACACUUUCAUUCAUGAGAAUCUGGCCAUCAUCGUAGAUUUCUGCAAAACUCCACCAGUGUCCUGUAUGAACAUCCCUUCCAUGCACAACUGCCAUGACAGUACUCAUGAUGUCAGGGUCACUGACUGCUUUGCCACCCCAGGAACCCGACCCCCUCAUUGCCACUACCGCAAGAUGGACUCCACCAGGCCCAUCCGUGUGGGCUGUGAACAGGGGGUACCUGUUCACCUGGAUGGCUAGGCUCCUCCUAAAUCUGACAUGGGAACCAAGCGACUUGCUGCUUACACCUUUAAAUCUUUGAGGCCCUGUCAGUCUUUCCUGUAAAGGCUUCUUCCCUUUGCA